CCACUUUGGAGGAUUUGCUGGCUUUUGGGCUGUUCCAUCUGAAUCAAAGGUUGCAAUGGUUGGAAGAUGGAAGGUGGGACCUGGAAAAUCCUUGUUUGAUGCCAUCUCCAGAGCUGUUGGAAAUAUGAACAUAAUAGCUGAAGAUUUGGUA